CAGACAGAAGCAAUGAACAGACAAAGACAAGAGGGAGAGCAGAGACUUAAAACCCAGACACUAACGAUGAGACGAGGAACAGGUGAGGAGAGAGAGAGGAGGGAGGAGGCCAGUGCAUGCAGCAGGAUCAGGAUGGUUCCUUGGUUUUUGUCACGUUUAAGUCCAGGUAGUUAUCAUCGCACCAUUCCACAAAUGAAGGCAGUGCACAGCCGUGAUCUGAUUGGGCCCCCUGGAGGAGUGACAGUAGGGCCGUGUCAUCUGAAAAUUGAACAAGAUGGCUGUCCACUUGGGAAGACCAGCAGCCGUCAGUAUACAUAAUAAAUAACACAACAGAAGAGACACAGCCCUGUGGAGAGCCUGUGUUUGAAGUGAUGGAGGUGCGACAUAUGACCAUUUACAAAUACUCGCUGAAUUCUGACUGUUAAAAAAAUGUAAGAGCAACAAUAAAAUCUGCUCAGGUAGAUAAAAGUAA